rnacentral:rRNA from 1 species
GGCCGUCGUCAGUUCGUACUGUGAAGCAUCCUGUUAAGUCAGGCAACGAGCGAGACCCACGCCAACAGUUGCCAGCAUGUCCUCGGGAUGAUGGGGACACUGUUGGGACGCCUCUGCUAAAGAGGAGGAGGAAUGGGCAACGGUAGGUCAGCAUGCCCCCGAAUUAUCCGGGCUACACGCGGGCUACAAUGGUCAGGACAAUGGGUAUCGACACCGAGAGGUGGAGGCAAUCUCCUAAACCUGUCCUUAGUUCGGAUUGUGGGCUGCAACUCGCCCACAUGAAGCUGGAAUCCGUAGUAAUCGCGUUUCAAAAUAGCGCGGUGAAUAUGUCCCUGCUCCUU